GCGAACGAAGCAACAGAGUGAAUUUCCCUAGCUGCCUCAGUGUUGUUGUUUUGGCGUUCGGGGAGGAUGCCAUUUUGCCAAGUGGGUCGGGGAAACUCCCCUGGGUCCCCAGGGUUGGGUGGAGAUCUACCAAAGAGUGUCGGGUACCUAGCCUUGACCUCAGCCCGUGAUAGGUUUUCGAGCGUCAUGCUUUUUUGAAUUGCGAACGCUUUCCUUC
rnacentral:lncRNA from 1 species